rnacentral:rRNA from 1 species
ACUCCUACGGGAGGCAGCAGUGGGGAAUAUUGGACAAUGGGCGCAAGCCUGAUCCAGCCAUGCCGCGUGAGUGAUGAAGGCCCUAGGGUUGUAAAGCUCUUUCACCGGUGAAGAUAAUGACGGUAACCGGAGAAGAAGCCCCGGCUAACUUCGUGCCAGCAGCCGCGGUAAUACGAAGGGGGCUAGCGUUGUUCGGAUUUACUGGGCGUAAAGCGCACGUAGGCGGACUAUUAAGUCAGGGGUGAAAUCCCGGGGCUCAACCCCGGAACUGCCUUUGAUACUGGUAGUCUUGAGUUCGAGAGAGGUGAGUGGAAUUCCGAGUGUAGAGGUGAAAUUCGUAGAUAUUCGGAGGAACACCAGUGGCGAAGGCGGCUCACUGGCUCGAUACUGACGCUGGGGUGCGAAAGCGUGGGGAGCAAACAGGAUUAGAAACCCCGGUAGUCCC